rfam:Burkholderia udeis isolate LMG 27134 genome assembly, contig: contig000056
UUGAGCGAAAUGCGGCGAAAGUCGCACGUUUCGUUCUUAGGGGAGGAUGCGACGGUAACGUCGCGUCCUUACCCGAC